AAGGGACAGAAGUGCAAUCACCGGUCUAUGCCACAAGAUUCCAGCCAAUUGCCGGUGAAUGACAGCACAGAAGAAAUCUACAAAGCACUCUUUCACAGUCUCCCACCGUGCCCGAGCCCAGGCAGAUCUCAGAGACCAAGUUCUUCACAAACCAACCUGUGUUACAAGAGCGGGAGCCAGAAACCUCCCUGUCCUCUCUCUCCUUCAGGAUUUGGAUUUGAGGAGGAACCGGAGCUCUGAGGAUAAUCCCAACCACUUUUCUCCAGGGUCCAGCCCCGCGGGAAGGACACUGCCUCACCCCCGGGACCCGGGGAUUUCCAUCAGCCCCUGCUUCCGCUCAGGAGGGAUUGGACCUGCAGCAGCGCGAGGACUUCUCGACUCUUAG
rnacentral:lncRNA from 1 species